rnacentral:rRNA from 1 species
CAGUAGCCGCGGGAAUACAGAGGGUGCAAGCGUUAAUCGGAUUCACUGGGCGUAAAGGGUGUGUAGGAGGUCAGAUAAGUCAGGUGUGAAAUCCCACUGCUCAACAGUGGAACUGCAUUCGAUACUGUUUGACUAGAGGCUUGGAGGGGGAAGCGGAAUUCUUGGUGUAGCGGUGAAAUGCGUAGAUAUCAGGAGGAACACCGGUGGCGAAGGCGGUUCUCUGGGAAUGUUCUGACGCUGAGGAGCGAAAGUGUGGGGAGCGAACAGGAUUAGAUACCCGCGUAGUCCCUGUCUCUUAUAC